rnacentral:rRNA from 1 species
UACGUAGGGUGCAAGCGUUGUCCGGAAUUAUUGGGCGUAAAGAGCUCGUAGGCGGUCUGUCGCGUCUGCUGUGAAAACUCGGGGCUUAACCCCGGGCCUGCAGUGGGUACGGGCAGACUAGAGUGCGGUAGGGGAGACUGGAAUUCCUGGUGUAGCGGUGAAAUGCGCAGAUAUCAGGAGGAACACCGGUGGCGAAGGCGGGUCUCUGGGCCGUAACUGACGCUGAGGAGCGACAGUGUGGGGAGCGAACAGG